CCUGGAAAAGAGAAGCUCUGGGGUGACCUAGUGGCAGCCUUCCGGUGCCUAAAGAGCUUACAAGAGAGUUGGAGAGGGACUCUUUACAAGGACAUCUAGUGACAGGACAAGGGAUAAUGGCUUC